CCUACGGGUGGCAGCAGUGGGGAAUAUUGCGCAAUGGGCGAAAGCCUGACGCAGCGACGCCGCGUGAGGGAUGAAGGUCUUCGGAUCGUAAACCUCUGUCAGCAGGGAAGAACGGUCACUGUGCUAAUCAGCAGUGAAUUGACGGUACCUGCAAAGGAAGCACCGGCUAACUCCGUGCCAGCAGCCGCGGUAAUACGGAGGGUGCGAGCGUUAAUCGGGAUUACUGGGCGUAAAGCGCUCGUAGGCGGUAUGUCAAGUCAAGGGUGAAAUCCCCGCGCUCAACGUGGGAACUGCCUUUGAAACUGGCAAACUGGAGUGUGUGAGAGGAUAGUGGAAUUCCAGGUGUAGGAGUGAAAUGCGUAGAUAUCUGGAGGAACAUCAGUGGCGAAGGCGACUAUCUGGCACAUAACUGACGCUGAGGAGCGAAAGCGUGGGUAGCAAACAGGAUUAGAUACCCGGGUAGUC
rnacentral:rRNA from 1 species